rnacentral:lncRNA from 1 species
GGGCCAUUACCAUUGUGACGUCGGCGCCCAUGGGUACUCUCCCUUUUCGAAACGUUUUGAAAGACAAUGCAACCGUCCCAAUGGAAUAUUAUUGAAGCCCUGGUUGAAAAAGCCCCUAAAGAUUUAUGUUAUACAACGUUUGACAUGUUUGAACGAACUUAAAUAUAUAUUUUUUGCUCAUUCCUGACGACAAGUCAGACGCACACGGUACAUUUUUACUAGCCUUUGGAGCGCGCUAACACUAUUGGGACAUAAAUUAUUAACUUUUUUGAACAAAACGACAUUUUUUAUGGACCUGGGAUUCUUAGAAGUGCCUUCUGAUAAAGAUAAUCAAAGGUCACCAGACUGCUCGUUACGGCGCACACCUGUCACCAUCGUUAUGCGCACCUGCAUCAGACUCACCUGGACUCCAUCACUUCCCUGACUACCUGCCCUAUAUAUAUGUCACUCCCUUUGGUUGCUUCCCCAGGCAUUAUUGAUUCUGUUCCUGUGUCAUGUCUGUGCGUUGUUCGUGUUUCUUAGUUUGUAUUACGUUGUGUUUAUUUAUUGAAACACUUCCUGAACUUGCUUCCCGACUCUCAGCGCACAUCGUUACAGUCUGCUUGACAUUUUUAGAUUCGACAUUUUUAGAUUUGAUAAGGAAGCUGAAAGGUCAAAUAUACUGUUUAGGUUUUCUACUGCCAAGUUUACACCUUCACUAUUACAGUGAAACGUUUUGUCCAGGAAGUUGUCAAGAAGGGAUUGAAUUUGUUGUUGCCUGAGUGUUUUUUGGUAGGUUUCUAUACUACUUUCCUUCCAUCUAUAGCCUGUCUUAAUAUUAUUCAGUUCCUUUGGCGUUGAUGCCUCAUGAUUGAGUAUUGCUCUGUUCAAGUAGACUGUGAUUUUGCUGUGGUCUGAUAAGGGUGUCAGUGGACUGACUGUGAACGCUCUGAGAGACUCUGGGUUGAGGUCAGUGAUAAAGUAGUCUACAGUACUACUGCCAAGAGAUGAGCUAUAGGUGUACCUACUGUAGGAGUCUCCUCGAAGCCUACCAUUGACUAUGUACAGACCCAGCUUCAAACAGAGCUGCAGGAGUUGUGACCCGUUUUUGUUUAUUAUGUUGUCAUAGUUGUGUCUAGGGGGGCAUAUGGGGGAGGGAAUGCUGUCACCUCCAGGUAGGUGUUUGUCCCCCUGUGUGCUGAGGGUGUCAGGUUCUUGUCCAGUUCUGGUGUUUAGGUCGCCACAGACUAGUACAUGUCCCUGACUAGUACAUCCCUCUAGGAUGGAGAAGCUGUCUUCAUUAAAAGUAUGGGGAUUCUAGUGGGGGGAUAUAGGUAGGAUGGAGAAGCUGUCAUCGUUAAAGUAUGGGGAUUCUAGUGGAGGGGAUAUAGGUAGCACACAGGAGGACAUUUUUCUCUGUUCUCUCUCAUUUCCUUUUGAAUUUAUAGCCAGAUGUAAAAUGUUCCUGUUUUGACUAAUUUAAUAGAGUGGGUCAGGUCUGCUCUAUACCAAAAUUAGCAUACCCCCUGAGUCUCUUCCCUGUUUCACACCUGGUAGUUUGGCAGAUGGGACUAACAGCUCUCUGUAACCAGUCCAUCUCCUUUAUACCAUGUUUCUUGAAGGAUGACAAUGUCUGUAUUUCCAAUUUCUUUGAUGAAGUCUGGGUUUUUAUUUAUUUCUUUCUUUAUUUUAUUUCACCUUUAUUUAACCAGGUAGACAAGUUGGGAACAAGUUCUCCUUUACAAUUGCGACCUGGCCAAGAUAAAGCAAGCAGUUUGACAUAUACAACAACACAGAGAUACACAUGGAGUAAAACAAACAUACAGUCAAUAAUACAGUAGAAAAAUAAGUCUAUAUACAAAGUGAGCAAAUGAGGUGAGAUAAGGGAGGUAAAGGCAAUAAAUAGGCCAUGGUGGCAAAGUAAAUACAAUAUAGCAAUUAAAACACUGGAAUGGUAGAUUUGCAGUGGAAGAAAUUUGCGGUGGGUGAAAUAG